rnacentral:rRNA from 1 species
AUUGAACGCUGGCGGCAGGCCUAACACAUGCAAGUCGAGCGGUAGAGAGGUGCUUGCAUCUCUUGAGAGCGGCGGACGGGUGAGUAAUGCCUAGGAAUCGUGCCCUAGUGGUGGGGGAUAACGUUCGGAAACGGACGCUAAUACCGCAUACGUCCUACGGGAGAAAGCGGGGGAUCUUCGGACCUCGCGCCAUUAGAUGAGCCUAGGUCGGAUUAGCUAGUUGGUGAGGUAAUGGCUCACCAAGGCGACGAUCCGUAACUGGUCUGAGAGGAUGAUCAGUCACACUGGAACUGAGACACGGUCCAGACUCCUAC